GGCCAGACUCCUACGGGAGGCAGCAGUGGGGAAUAUUGGGCAAUGGGCGCAAGCCUGACCCAGCAACGCCGCGUGAAGGAAGAAGGUUUUCGGGUUGUAAACUUCUUUUGACAGGGAAGAGUAGAGGACGGUACCUGUCGAAUAAGCCACGGCUAACUACGUGCCAGCAGCCGCGGUAAUACGUAGGUGGCAAGCGUUGUCCGGAUUUACUGGGUGUAAAGGGCGUGUAGCCGGGUUGACAAGUCAGAUGUGAAAUCCGGGGGCUCAACCCCCGAACUGCAUUUGAAACUGUAGGUCUUGAGUAUCGGAGAGGCAGGCGGAAUUCCUAGUGUAGCGGUGAAAUGCGUAGAUAUUAGGAGGAACACCAGUGGCGAAGGCGGCCUGCUGGACGACAACUGACGGUGAGGCGCGAAAGUGUGGGGAGCAAACAGGAUUAGAUACCCUAGUA
rnacentral:rRNA from 1 species